rnacentral:rRNA from 1 species
CCUACGGGGGGCAGCAGUGAGGAAUAUUGGUCAAUGGACGAGAGUCUGAACCAGCCAAGUAGCGUGAAGGAUGACUGCCCUAUGGGUUGUAAACUUCUUUUAUCUGGGAAUAAACUGUUCCACGUGUGGGAUUUUGUAUGUACCAUAUGAAUAAGGCUCGGCUAAAUCCGUGCCAGCAGCCGCGGUAAUACGGAGGAUCCGAGCGUUAUCCGGAUUUAUUGGGUUUAAAGGGAGUGUAGGGUGUUAUAUAAGUCAGUUGUGAAAGUUUGCGGCUUAACCGUAGAAUUGCAGUUGAAACUGGCAGUCUUGAGUACAGUAGAGGUGGGCGGAAGUCGUGGUGGAGCGGUGAAAUGCUUAGAUAUCACGAAGAACUCCGAUUGCGAAGGCAGCUCACUGGACUGCAACUGACACUGAGGCUCGAAAGUGUGGGUAUCAAACAGGAUUAGAUACCCUUGUAGUC